GAUGAAGAACGUAGCGAAAUGCGAUACUUGGUGUGAAUUGCAGAAUCCCGUGAACCAUCGAGUCUUUGAACGCAAGUUGCGCCCGAAGCCUCGGCUAAGGGCACGUCUGCCUGGGCGUCGCGCAUCGCGUCUCCCCCAAACCGCCAAGGCGGAGGGGAAGGAAGAUGGCUUCCCGUGCCUCACCCGGGCGCGGUUGGCCUAAAUUUGGAGCCCGCGGCACUUAGCUCUCGCGGCGAUAGGUGGUGAACAAGGCCUUGGCCGUGCAAACAACCCGCUGCGAAGCUCUAUGUCGUGCGCUCGUCGGACUCUUUGAAGUUGCCUUCGGUGACUUAAAACCUUUGCGACCCCAGGUCAGGCGGGGCUACCCGCUGAAUUUAAGCAUAUCAAUAAGCGGAGGA
rnacentral:misc_RNA from 1 species